rnacentral:rRNA from 1 species
CCCUUAGAUGUUCUGGGCCGCACGCGCGCUACACUGACGAAUGCAACGAGCUUAUAACCUUGGCCGAAAGGUCUGGGUAAUCUCCAAAUUUCGUCGUGAUGGGGAUAGAUUAUUGCAAUUAUUAAUCUUCAACGAGGAAUGCCUAGUAAGCGCAAGUCAUCAGCUUGCGUUGAUUACGUCCCUGCCCUUUAUACACACCGCCCGUCGCUCCUACCGAUUGAAUGGUCCGGUGAAGCGUUCGGACCGUGGCCUUUGGACGGUUCGCCGUCUGUUGGCUGCGGGAAGUUCGUUAAACCUUAUCAUUUAGAGGAAGGAGAANUCGUAACA